CGGCGUAUGGCGCAGCUUGGUAGCGCGCUUGCAUGGGGUGCAAGAGGUCGUGGGUUCAAGUCCCGCUACGCCGA
rnacentral:tRNA from 1 species